rnacentral:lncRNA from 1 species
AUGGGAAAAUCCGUCCCUUCUUGGACCACUGCACUUCACAGCCUUGCACAUCCCAGUGAGGAUUCAGGAACUGGCUCAGUUACGAGGGUGAUUAGACCUUUGGGUACAUUCAUUACACAGGGACACACAGAAAGUGAGCUUUGGAUGAUGGCUCUUGGUAUUUUGGAAGUUUUAGACCCCGUUUGGAAAACCGGAAGAAAGCUAUGGAUCGUUUCCCCAUUAGAACCACCAUUUCUGAAGGUAGAGGGACAGCCUUUGGUUGUCAGGUCAGGAAGCCCUGAUCUAAAAGAUCAUCACCUUCACUUUGCUUUUGACCUUGCUCCAGCUUUACUGUCGCUUUCUGUCAACAGCUCUCUGUCACCUUUGAUUGGAGCACCAGAUAUUGAAGGGCACUUAGUGCCUUACUCAGGAACUGAAUCCACAAGUCCAGAGCUUUGUGAUGUCAUGGAGCAGAGAUUCUCUGCAAAGGGCCACCCCAUGGGUGCUAGCGAUCGCACUGUGCAAUGGUGGCCAUAACCUGAUUCCCAGUUUGUGCUCUGCUCUGCAGACCAACUGAUCAUAAUACUGACAAAUCAAGGUGGAAUCAUAACAUUUUAUCUGACACUAUCACAUGUAGCAAAUGAAAGUUGGUGAAAAAAAACAGCAGGAGGUAGGUACUGGCUUGGCUAGAUUGUUUCUCACAUAACCUCUGUGAGACCACUUCCCAUUCAUAAGGAAGCACUUUUUCCUAAUAGUCUAGGACCUAGACAGGAUAUUUGCAUUUGUAUUUUGCUCCCUGCAUCAUCAAUAUUAUUAGUAAUACUUUUUCAGUGCCUGCUGUGUGCUAGGCAUUAUGUUAAAUGUUUUACAUGCAUGAUUUCAUUAAUUUCCAUAACUUCAGGAGUUCCCUUGUGGCUCCUGCUGGUUAAGAAUCCAGUGUUGUCUCUGUGGAAGCUUGAGUUUCUACUGAAGUGUGGGUUUGAUCCCCAGCCGGGGAACUUCCAUAUGCUGUGGGUAUGGCCAAAAAAACAUUUUUUUUUUCCUAAACUUCAGUUUGGUGAGAUACUGAUAUUGGCCCAGUUUUAUGGAUAAGACUGAAAUUUAGAAAGACAGAGGAACUACUAAAUGUUACCUAUCCAUCAGAUGGUGGAGCCAGGACUGGAAUGUAUUCUUUCAGCCACCCUGCUGUAUUGAGAGCUGUUAUUUUAGCCUCCUCUCUCUUCCUCUUGCCUUCUUUCAAUUAUUGAAAUGGAUUUGGUGUUUAGAAUUAGAUCCGAUGUAGAUAUUAUUGACCUCAUGUCUCUCACAUGGUUUGUGAUUUGGCGUAGCCAAGUUUCAGAUCUUUUUUUUCUUUCUUUCUUCUUUCCUUUGGCAUCCUGAGUUGGUGCCAGUUUCUGUGACUGUGAUGAACCUCUUGGCUCUGAGUUACUGAGGGACCUCAGAACAGGCCGAGGGUUGUUUCCCUUUAUAUGAAAUAUAUAACGAAAUCUGUAUUACCCUGCUCCUCAAUAGCUGCCUUGUCUGUGUGCACCUUGCG